rnacentral:SRP_RNA from 1 species
GCCAGGCAUGGUGGCUCAUGCCUGUAAUUCCAGCACUUUGGGAGGCUGAGGCAGGUGGAUCACCUGAGGUCAGGAGUGCAACACCUGCCUGGCCAAUAUGGUGAAACCCUGUCUCUA